ACGAUAUGCUUUGGGGAGCUGUAAGUAAGCUUUGAUCCAGAGAUUUCCGAAUGGGGAAACCCAGCAUGAGUUAUGUCAUGUUAUCGAUAUGUGAAUACAUAGCAUAUCAGAAGGCACACCCGGAGAACUGAAACAUCUUAGUACCCGGAGGAAGAGAAAGAAAAUUCGAUUCCCUUAGUAGCGGCGAGCGAAACGGGAAGAGCCCAAACCAACAAGCUUGCUUGUUGGGGUUGUAGGACACUCUAUACGGAGUUACAAAGGACGACAUUAGACGAAUCAUCUGGAAAGAUGAAUCAAAGAAGGUAAUAAUCCUGUAGUCGAAAAUGUUGUCUCUCUUGAGUGGAUCCUGAGUACGACGGAGCACGUGAAAUUCCGUCGGAAUCUGGGAGGACCAUCUCCUAAGGCUAAAUACUCUCUAGUGACCGAUAGUGAACCAGUACCGUGAGGGAAAGGUGAAAAGCACCCCGGAAGGGGAGUGAAAUAGAACCUGAAACCGUGUGCUUACAAGUAGUCAGAGCCCGUUAAUGGGUGAUGGCGUGCCUUUUGUAGAAUGAACCGGCGAGUUACGAUUUGAUGCAAGGUUAAGCAGUAAAUGUGGAGCCGUAGCGAAAGCGAGUCUGAAUAGGGCGUUUAGUAUUUGGUCGUAGACCCGAAACCAGGUGAUCUACCCUUGGUCAGGUUGAAGUUCAGGUAACACUGAAUGGAGGACCGAACCGACUUACGUUGAAAAGUGAGCGGAUGAACUGAGGGUAGCGGAGAAAUUCCAAUCGAACCUGGAGAUAGCUGGUUCUCUCCGAAAUAGCUUUAGGGCUAGCCUCAAGUGAUGAUUAUUGGAGGUAGAGCACUGUUUGGACGAGGGGCCCCUCUCGGGUUACCGAAUUCAGACAAACUCCGAAUGCCAAUUAAUUUAACUUGGGAGUCAGAACAUGGGUGAUAAGGUCCGUGUUCGAAAGGGAAACAGCCCAGACCACCAGCUAAGGUCCCAAAAUAUAUGUUAAGUGGAAAAGGAUGUGGCGUUGCCCAGACAACUAGGAUGUUGGCUUAGAAGCAGCCAUCAUUUAAAGAGUGCGUAAUAGCUCACUAGUCGAGUGACACUGCGCCGAAAAUGUACCGGGGCUAAACAUAUUACCGAAGCUGUGGAUUGUCCUUUGGACAAUGGUAGGAGAGCGUUCUAAGGGCGUUGAAGCAUGAUCGUAAGGACAUGUGGAGCGCUUAGAAGUGAGAAUGCCGGUGUGAGUAGCGAAAGACGGGUGAGAAUCCCGUCCACCGAUUGACUAAGGUUUCCAGAGGAAGGCUCGUCCGCUCUGGGUUAGUCGGGUCCUAAGCUGAGGCCGACAGGCGUAGGCGAUGGAUAACAGGUUGAUAUUCCUGUACCACCUAUAAUCGUUUUAAUCGAUGGGGGGACGCAGUAGGAUAGGCGAAGCGUGCGAUUGGAUUGCACGUCUAAGCAGUAAGGCUGAGUAUUAGGCAAAUCCGGUACUCGUUAAGGCUGAGCUGUGAUGGGGAGAAGACAUUGUGUCUUCGAGUCGUUGAUUUCACACUGCCGAGAAAAGCCUCUAGAUAGAAAAUAGGUGCCCGUACCGCAAACCGACACAGGUAGUCAAGAUGAGAAUUCUAAGGUGAGCGAGCGAACUCUCGUUAAGGAACUCGGCAAAAUGACCCCGUAACUUCGGGAGAAGGGGUGCUCUUUAGGGUUAACGCCCAGAAGAGCCGCAGUGAAUAGGCCCAAGCGACUGUUUAUCAAAAACACAGGUCUCUGCUAAACCGUAAGGUGAUGUAUAGGGGCUGACGCCUGCCCGGUGCUGGAAGGUUAAGAGGAGUGGUUAGCUUCUGCGAAGCUACGAAUCGAAGCCCCAGUAAACGGCGGCCGUAACUAUAACGGUCCUAAGGUAGCGAAAUUCCUUGUCGGGUAAGUUCCGACCCGCACGAAAGGCGUAACGAUUUGGGCACUGUCUCAACGAGAGACUCGGUGAAAUCAUAGUACCUGUGAAGAUGCAGGUUACCCGCGACAGGACGGAAAGACCCCGUGGAGCUUUACUGUAGCCUGAUAUUGAAAUUCGGCACAGCUUGUACAGGAUAGGUAGGAGCCUUUGAAACGUGAGCGCUAGCUUACGUGGAGGCGCUGGUGGGAUACUACCCUAGCUGUGUUGGCUUUCUAACCCGCACCACUUAUCGUGGUGGGAGACAGUGUCAGGCGGGCAGUUUGACUGGGGCGGUCGCCUCCUAAAAGG
rnacentral:rRNA from 2 species